rnacentral:rRNA from 1 species
UACGGGGGGGGCAAGCGUUGUUCGGAAUUACUGGGCGUAAAGGGCUCGUAGGUGGCCAACUAAGUCAGACGUGAAAUCCCUCGGCUUAACCGGGGAACUGCGUCUGAUACUGGAUGGCUUGAGUUUGGGAGAGGGAUGCGGAAUUCCAGGUGUAGCGGUGAAAUGCGUAGAUAUUCGGAAGAACACCAGUGGCGAAGGCGGCUCACUGGACUGGUAUUGACGCUGAGGUGCGAAAGCGUGGGGAGCAAACAGG